GAUGAACGCUGGCGGCGUGCCUAAUACAUGCAAGUCGAGCGAACAGACGAGGAGCUUGCUCCUCUGACGUUAGCGGCGGACGGGUGAGUAACACGUGGAUAACCUACCUAUAAGACUGGGAUAACUUCGGGAAACCGGAGCUAAUACCGGAUAAUAUAUUGAACCGCAUGGUUCAAUAGUGAAAGACGGUUUUGCUGUCACUUAUAGAGGGAUCCGCGCCGCAUUAGCUAGUUGGUAAGGUAACGGCUUACCAAGGCUACGAUGCGUAGCCGACCUGAGAGGGUGGUCGGCCACACUGGAACUGAGACACGGUCCAGACUCCUACGGGAGGCAGCAGUAGGGAAUCUUCCGCAAUGGGCGAAAGCCUGACGGAGCAACGCCGCGUGAGUGAUGAAGGUCUUCGGAUCGUAAAACUCUGUUACUAGGGAAGAACAAAUGUGUAAGUAACUAUGCACGUCUUGACGGUACCUAAUCAGAAAGCCACGGCUAACUACGUG
rnacentral:rRNA from 1 species